CCCCUGGAUGUUCUGGGCCGCACGCGCGCUACACUGAACAGUUCAACAAGUCUUAACCUUGGCCGAUAGGUCUGGGUAAUCUUUGAACGCUGUUCGUGAUUGGGAUAGACCUUUGCAAUUAUGGGUCUUCAACGAGGAAUUCCUAGUAAACGCAAGUCAUCAGCUUGCAUUGAUUACGUCCCUGCCCUUUGUACACACCGCCCGUCGCACCUACCGAUUGAAUGGUCCGGUGAAAUCUCGGGACGGCGGCUUGGUCGCUUGCGUCCGACUGCUGAAACUUGAUUAAACCAUAUCAUUUAGAGGAAGGUGAANUCGUAACA
rnacentral:rRNA from 1 species